AUGAACGCUGGCGGCGUGCCUAAUCCAUGCAAGUCGAGAGAACGGACGAGAAGCUUGCUUCUCUGAUGUUAGCGGCGGACGGGUGAGUAACACGUGGAUAACCUACCUAUAAGACUGGGAUAACUUCGGGAAACCGGAGCUAAAACCGGAUAAUAUUUUGAACCGCAUGGUUCAAAAGUGAAAGAUGGUCUUGCUGUCACUUAUAGAUGGAUCCGCGCUGCAUUAGCUAGUUGGUAAGGUAACGGCUUAUCAAGGCAACGAUGCAUAGCCGACCUGAUAGGGUGAUCGGCCACACUGGAGCGGAGACGCGGACCCGGCUCCUACGGGAGGCAGCAGUAGGGAAUCUUCCGCAAUGGUCGAAAGCCUGACGCAGCAACGCCGCGUGAGUUAUGAAGGUCUUCGGAUCGUAAAACUCUGUUAUUAGGGAAGAACAUAUGUGUAAGUAACUGUGCACAUCUUGACGGUACCUAAUCAGAAAGCCACGGCUAACUACGUG
rnacentral:rRNA from 1 species